CCUUUAGACUACUAAGAAAACUCAAGUAGCUUUUAGCAAAAGAGAGUAGGUUGAUGAAGGAA
rnacentral:ncRNA from 12 species